rnacentral:rRNA from 1 species
GGAGGGACAUUACUGAGUUACCGCUCUACAACCCUUUGUGAACAUACCUAACCGUUGCUUCGGCGGGCAGGGGAAGCCUCUCGCGGGCCUCCCCUCCCGGCGCCGGCCCCACCACGGGGACGGGGCGCCCGCCGGAGGAAACCAAACUCUAUUUACACGACGUCUCUUCUGAGUGGCACAAGCAAAUAAUUAAAACUUUUAACAACGGAUCUCUUGGUUCUGGCAUCGAUGAAGAACGCAGCGAAAUGCGAUAAGUAAUGUGAAUUGCAGAAUUCAGUGAAUCAUCGAAUCUUUGAACGCACAUUGCGCUCGCCAGCAUUCUGGCGAGCAUGCCUGUUCGAGCGUCAUUUCAACCCUCAAGCACCGCUUGGUUUUGGGGCCCCACGGCAGACGUGGGCCCUUAAAGGUAGUGGCGGACCCUCCCGGAGCCUCCUUUGCGUAGUAACUAACGUCUCGCACUGGGAUCCGGAGGGACUCUUGCCGUAAAACCCCCAAAUUCUUUACAGGUUGACCUCGGAUCAGGUAGGAAUACCCGCUGAACUUAAGCAUAUCAUA